rnacentral:lncRNA from 1 species
CCUCGCCCCUGCCCUUUUGUUUGUUGUCAUCUCACCAUAGGCGUCGUCCUCGCCAUAUUUUCGCCAUGCUCCCCGUGCUCUGCGGGUAUCUCUGAAAAUACUUCAGAGAAGCGCAUGCACCCUUCCUCCGCGGCGGAUGCCUUUUUAUGUGUGUGUUUGGUUGUGUUCAAAGUCUCUCAUAGCCGCCUUGUAGACCCGCGCACUCGCCGCACCCCAGUGUCC